CACCGGCCUUCUCUUUUCCUUUUAACCCAACAGAAAGUCCAUCAGCUCCCUUCUCUUUCUCUUCUGGCUCUGUGGUCAGUUGUGUUAAUGUCCCUCAGCGCCACGGGGAGUGCGGGGGCCAUGAGCCCCUGGCCUAGGGGAUAUUGAUUUGAUUCAAGAUGUUUGUGCCUUCACUCUAUCCCCUCCCACCUUCACUCCCAUGCUUCCUUCACCAUCCUGGAGGGGGUCGGACGGAAGAGGUGAGGAACUGUCUUCCUGUGUGACUGAGGAAGGAGCCUGAAUAGAGAAGGCGGUGGCCUGACCAGGCUCACGUGUGGGGCUGGGUGAAGGGAAGCCCCAUUCCUUAGGAGCUUGGGCUCUUAGGUCCCAGGGCUGCUUCUCAGGAGGCCCUGUGGGCUGUGGGCACAGAGCGGGGAUCGUGCAGGCGGCACUCACGUGGCGGGAGAAGUAGUAGAAGCUGAGCAUCAUGAGGAACACCAUCACCGUCAUAGAGUACUUGGAAGGCACCAGGGGCAGCCUGCUGGGCAGAGCGUGUGCAACUGAAAGGGCUGUCAUCUGCCUCCUGGAGGGGGCCUGAUUCCCUCCAACUAGAUGGUGCUGCUUCCUGCCACCCCAGCCCUAGAGCUCACCCCGGCUCCUUAGGCCCUUUCACAUCAAGUCGGGCUCCCCCGGGCAGUAAAAUUUUCUUAACUCACUGGGCUCCUCUCCAACAGCCAGGCAACCCCUGGCCCCUCCUGGCUGCACCUGGUAUUCACAUCAGGGCUGCUCCCCAGGUAUUUAAGAAACACUGCAUUGCCUGACUGAUCACAGAGGUAGCUACAACCAUGCAGGAAUUUGGAGAAGCAAGAGACAUCAGUGAUGGGAUUUCAUAGCCAUGGGACUGGGGUACAAUCUCACCAUGGCUUUUUACCUUGUUCAUACAUAUUUUUAUGUGGAGCUGUGGUUAGUUUCCAUUACCGUAUGGUAUUUCACUGCAUGAAUAUACCAGUUAUGUAUCCAUUUCCUGUUGAUGUCAUUUGGGUUGUUUUCAUUUGUUUUGGGGGAGGGGGUAUGUCUAUUACGAACAGUGCCACUUUGGACAUUCUCAUACAUAUAUCCUGGGACAUGA
ensembl:lncRNA novel transcript, antisense to ADCY3